GUGUCAGCCCCGCGGUAAUACGUAGGUGGCAAGCGUUAUCCGGAAUUAUUGGGCGUAAAGCGCGCGUAGGCGGUUUUUUAAGUCUGAUGUGAAAGCCCACGGCUCAACCGUGGAGGGUCAUUGGAAACUGGAAAACUUGAGUGCAGAAGAGGAAAGUGGAAUUCCAUGGGUAGCGGUGAAAUGCGCAGAGAUAUGGAGGAACACCAGUGGCGAAGGCGACUUUCUGGUCUGUAACUGACGCUGAUGUGCGAAAGCGUGGGGAUCAAACAGGAUUAGAAACCCCAGUAGUCC
rnacentral:rRNA from 1 species